rnacentral:rRNA from 1 species
AGAGUUUGAUCCUGGCUCAGGAUGAACGCUAGCGGCAGGCCUAAUACAUGCAAGUCGAACGGUAAGGCUCCUUCGGGAGUACACGAGUGGCGCACGGGUGCGUAACGCGUAUGCAACCUACCCUUUAGUGGGGGAUAGCCUGAAGAAAUUCAGAUUAAUACCCCAUAUUAUUCAGUCAUUGCAUAUUGAUUGGAUGAAAACUCCGGUGCUAAGGGAUGGGCAUGCGUGACAUUAGCUAGUUGGUGAGGUAAAGGCUCACCAAGGCUACGAUGUCUAGCUGGUCUGAGAGGAUGAUCAGCCACACUGGCACUGAGACACGGGCCAGACUCCUACGGGAGGCAGCAGUAGGGAAUAUUGGACAAUGGGCGCAAGCCUGAUCCAGCCAUGCCGCGUGGAGGAAGACGGUCCUCUGGAUUGUAAACUUCUUUUCCUGAAGGAAUAAACCUGUUCUAUAUGAACAGCUGAAGGUACUUCAGGAAUAAGCACCGGCUAACUCCGUGCCAGCAGCCGCGGUAAUACGGAGGGUGCAAGCGUUGUCCGGAUUUAUUGGGUUUAAAGGGUGCGUAGGCGGAAUAAUAAGUCAGUGGUGAAAUCCAGCAGCUCAACUGCUGAACUGCCAUUGAUACUGGCGGACUUGAGUACGGACGAGGUAGGCGGAAUUUAUGGUGUAGCGGUGAAAUGCAUAGAUACCAUAAAGAACACCGAUAGCGUAGGCAGCUUACUAGACUGUAACUGACGCUCAGGCACGAAAGCGUGGGGAGCGAACAGGAUUAGAUACCCUGGUAGUCCACGCCCUAAACGAUGUUUACUCGAUGUUUGGACUUCGGUCUCCAAGCGAAAGCGUUAAGUGAUCCACCUGGGGAGUACGUUCGCAAGAAUGAAACUCAAAGGAAUUGACGGGGGACCGCACAAGCGGUGGAGCGUGUGGUUUAAUUCGACGAUACGCGAGGAACCUUACCUAGGCUAUAAUGUGAGUGACCGGCCCUGAAAGGGGUCUUUCCUUCGGGACACGAAACAAGGUGCUGCAUGGUUGUCGUCAGCUCGUGCCGUGAGGUGUUGGGUUAAGUCCCGCAACGAGCGCAACCCCUAUCUUUAGUUGCCAGCGAUUCGGUCGGGGACUCUAGAGAGACUGCCUGCGCAAGCAGAGAGGAAGGCGGGGACGACGUCAAAUCAUCAUGGCCUUUAUGCCUAGGGCUACACACGUGCUACAAUGGUAAGGACAAAGGGCAGCGAGCCGGCGACGGUCAGCGAAUCCCAAAAACCUUAUCUCAGUUCGGAUUGGAGUCUGCAACUCGACUCCAUGAAGCUGGAAUCGCUAGUAAUCGUAGGUCAGCAAUACUACGGUGAAUACGUUCCCGGACCUUGUACACACCGCCCGUCAAGCCAUGGGAGUUGGGUAGACCUUAAGACGGUAACCGAAAGGAGCUGUCCAAGGUAGAACCAGUGACUGGGGCUAAGUCGUAACAAGGUAGCCGUACCGGAAGGUGCGGCUGGACCAUCUCCUU